AAUUUCCCUCCCCUUUUCUCUUGUGUCUCCCUCCUGAAACACGUUAAUUUUUACUUUCCCCCUAUUUUCCUUUAACCCUAAAUGGAUUCUCCUCCCAAAAUUCAUCCCCAGAUCUCGAUCUCGAUCUCGUACUGAUACCCCCUCUUCUCUUUUUGUCUAAUAUCUUCUCUGAUUGAACGCGAACCGAAGGAAGAGGAUCAUAAUUCGGAAGCCAUCUGAUUCAAGACCUUAAUCGGAGCUCUGAAAACCAAUUAAGGACUGACGUGACUAAGGAUCCUACUAGAAAAACUUGCAUUGGUCAACUUAACAAGCCUCACACAUCAAGAGAAGCUUGCUUUCUGGAUUAACAUAUAUAAUUCGUGCAUGAUGAAUGCGCUUCUUGAACAUGGAAUACCAGAGACACCUGAGAGAGUCGUUGAACUAAUGCAAGAGGCAAAAAUAAAUGUUGGGGGUCAUCUUUUAAAUGCAUUUAGCAUUGAGCAUUUCACAUUGAGACUCCCCUGUCACGCAAAAUAUACUUCGCUAAAGGGUUUCAAGAACGAUGAAUUAACCGCAAGAAGCAUAUUUGGGUUGGAGUUGUCUGAACCACUAGUAAAAUUUGCAUUAUCAUGCGGAAGCUGGUCUUCUCCUGCUGUAAGAGUGUACACAACUUCAGAAGUUGAAAAUGAACUUGAAGUUGCAAAAAAUGAGUAUUUACAGGCUGCAGUUGGGAUUUCAACCACAAAGCAUCUGCUAAUGAUACCAAAACUGUUGGAUUGGUAUAUGUUUGAUUUUGCUAAAGACAUGGAGUCUUUUCUUCACUGGGUAUGCCUACAAUUGCAUGGUGAAGUUGGGAAAGAAGCAAUGAAGUGUCUUGAAAGACAAACGAGUGAAACACUUUCAGAUCAUGUACGGGUUAGCCCUUAUGAGUUCCAUUUCAGGUGUUUUCUGACACAAUCAUAUGCAUUAAUUUUGGGAUAUACAGGAUCGAGAAAUGCUGGAGGAAGCCCGGAAUUUAAGGAUUUAAGGUAUGCUGGUAUCUUUUUGUUCGUUGUGAUAAUGGUCCUGCUCCUUGGACUAGCGAUGAAAAUGGAGACCGCCCGAGACCUUUGCCUGUCAUUAAGGAGCUGAAGGAUGCAAAUGAUGUGACAGAGAGAAAGGGAUCCCCAUCUUGGGAUUAUGAUUGAGCUGAAGAGGCAAAGGGAAAUGGCUGCUGCACAGAAGGAAGAAGAGAGAAAGAAGUGUGAAGAAGCAAAGGCAACAGUGCUGCUCGUAUUAAGCAGUGAGUGAGUAUGUGGGCUUGAAGAAAACAACCUAGAAAUAGCUCUUAGUUUUUGUGUAUAUUUGUUUCCCUUUUAAACUUUUAUCUAUAGAUUUUGAUUAGAAGUUUGGUUUUAGUUGGUAUUUAAAUUGAAAACUUAUGUAUGGAUUUUAGGA